rnacentral:misc_RNA from 1 species
GAUGAAGAACGUAGCGAAAUGCGAUAAGUAAUGUGAAUUGCAGAAUUCAGUGAAUCAUCGAAUCUUUGAACGCACAUUGCGCCCGCCAGUAUUCUGGCGGGCAUGCCUGUUCGAGCGUCAUUUCAACCAUCAAGCCCCCGGGCUUGUGUUGGGGACCUGCGGCUGCCGCAGGCCCUGAAAAGCAGUGGCGGGCUCGCUGUCACACCGAGCGCAGUAGCACAUCUCGCUCAGGGCGUGCGGCGGGCUCCUGCCGUGAAACCCCCCACUGUAACCCCAAAGGUUGACCUCGGAUCAGGUAGGAAUACCCGCUGAACUUAAGCAUAUCAAUAAGCGGAGGA